AGUGAACGCUGGCGGUAGGCCUAACACAUGCAAGUCGAACGGCAGCACAGUAAGAGCUUGCUCUUACGGGUGGCGAGUGGCGGACGGGUGAGGAAUACAUCGGAAUCUACUUUUUCGUGGGGGAUAACGUAGGGAAACUUACGCUAAUACCGCAUACGACCUACGGGUGAAAGCAGGGGAUCUCCGGACCUUGCGCGAUUGAAUGAGCCGAUGUCGGAUUAGCUAGUUGGCGGGGUAAAGGCCCACCAAGGCGACGAUCCGUAGCUGGUCUGAGAGGAUGAUCAGCCACACUGGAACUGAGACACGGUCCAGACUCCUACGGGAGGCAGCAGUGGGGAAUAUUGGACAAAGGGCGCAAGCCUGAUCCAGCCAUACCGCGUGGGUGAAGAAGGCCUUCGGGUUGUAAAGCCCUUUUGUUGGGAAAGAAAAGCAGCAGGUUAAUACCCCGCUGCUCUGACGGUACCCAAAGAAUAAGCACCGGCUAACUUCGUG
rnacentral:rRNA from 1 species